rnacentral:rRNA from 1 species
UGGGGAAUAUUGGACAAUGGGGGCAACCCUGAUCCAGCAAUGCCGCGUGUGUGAAGAAGGUCUUCGGAUUGUAAAGCACUUUCGACGGGGACGAUGAUGACGGUACCCGUAGAAGAAGCCCCGGCUAACUUCGUGCCAGCAGCCGCGGUAAUACGAAGGGGGCUAGCGUUGCUCGGAAUGACUGGGCGUAAAGGGCGUGUAGGCGGUUUACACAGUCAGAUGUGAAAUCCCCGGGCUUAACCUGGGAGCUGCAUUUGAUACGUGUAGACUAGAGUGUGAGAGAGGGUUGUGGAAUUCCCAGUGUAGAGGUGAAAUUCGUAGAUAUUGGGAAGAGCACCGGUGGCGAAGGCGGCAACCUGGCUCAUGACUGACGCUGAGGCGCGAAAGCGUGGGGAGCAAACAGGAUUAGAUACCCUGGUAGUCCACGCUGUAAACGAUGUGUGCUAGAUGUUGGGUAACUUUGUUAUUCAGUGUCGCAGUUAACGCGUUAAGCACACCGCCUGGGGAGUACGGCCGCAAGGUUGAA